rnacentral:rRNA from 1 species
UACAGAGGAGCCAAGCGUUGUCCGGAUUGACUGGGCGUAAAGCGCACGCAGGCGGAUGCGCGCGUGGGGUGUGAAAUCUGGCCGCUUAACGGCCAGGCGCCAUCCCAUACGGCGCGUCUGGAGUGAUGCAGAGGUCGGUGGAAUUGCCGGUGUAGUGGUGAAAUGCGUAGAUAUCGGAAGGAACACCAGUGGCGAAAGCGGCUUCCUGGUCCAGCAUCGACGUUCAGGCACGAAAGCGUGGGGAGCAAACAGG